GGUAAAGAGGGAAAGGUGGUGGUAAUACAAGAGGUGAGAAAGAUCUGCAAGACACUGACCUUGAAAAGACAAGAGCUGUGUGGCCCCAGUACAAACAACCCAGGAGAGAAUCCUUGGUACAAAAUGUUGAGAGGACAAGAGAGAAGGAAGAGUCUAUGACAUGGGCACACAACUAUGGUUACAGCAGGACCACGAAGAGGAGAUUACAUUGGAACUGUAGUCUUUUUGUUCAUAGGCCCGAGACCCAGAGAGAAACAAGUUAGACCAAGCUCACACUCCACAUGAGAACUGAGGACUGAGUAUCCUGUCUUUGACUCCAGGAAAUGUUGGAGGAAAGAUUGGACCUGAGGUUGAUCCAAGAACAAUGGACAGCUGGAAAGGAUUAGAAAGGCUCAGACCUGCAUGAGAACAGGUGUCAGUGUCUGAAUUGCUAACAGAAAGUUGAACCUUCACACCCCUCCCAUGUGUCAGCUUUGGAUGAGCUGUUUGACAUCCUGUCCAUCUGUGGUUAUAAAAACAGCAGCUCAUCCUUCCAUCUGAAAGAAAACACUGCAGGGGCCCUCAACAUGAACCCCCCCCCCAGCUAAGCAUCUCCCUAGUUCUGAACUCCAUAAACAGAUGGAUGUAUACUGCUCACCUCUAUAGUUUUGGGUUAAUUCGUUAAGGAGCAACAACUGGAGCCAGUUACCACAUACUAGGAGCUCUAUUUUCUGCAUUAUUACACUCAACUCCCUUGUCCAAGAACAACACAAAGUGCUAUUUUCAUUUCAGAGACGAGGAAGUGAUGGUCUGCUAAGUUACCAAUGCCACACAGGUAAGAACACAAGCAUUGCAAUGUAAAGCCAGGGCUGCUUAGCCAGCUAGAGUCUGGGAGAUCAG